rnacentral:misc_RNA from 1 species
GAAAUGCGAUACGCAGUGCGAAUUGCAGAACGCGAGUCAUCAGAUCUUUGAACGCAAGUGGCGCCGGUUAGCAGCCGGCAUGUGGGGUUCAGUGUGUUUGGAAAUCACAAACGCGGAAUGUGGUUGAAGCCCUCACGGGUUUCUCCCAUUAAACCACGCUACAGGCGCUCCUCCGGCACGCGUGCAAACGCGCGCCGGGGCUGCACACUCCCUGUACCCGGUAGUAGUCACUAGCAUCCUAGUGAUCUACGGGUACCAGCGGUCGUGUGUUCAGUGCAACGCCUCAAAACAUCCUCCAUUCACUACACCUGAGCUCCGCAAGAUCACCCGCUGAACUUAA